rnacentral:lncRNA from 1 species
GGGGCAGGGGCAGGAACUGGUGGAAGAGCUGACAGCAAGGGGAGUGGCCAAACGGAGGCGGGGCCUGGAAGGGGGCGUGGCUUGCGGGCCUCUGGGCCGCCCGGCCUCUUUAGGUGCCGCAGCGGAAGGCCUGGAGCAGAGGCUGCUUCUCCGCCCAAGCACUCCCUGGCGAGCCCAGGCCCUCCCGAGGAGCAGAGAAUGGAAGGAAACCAAGUUUUGUCCUGCGAGUCCUCGCCCUCUGCAGGAAGAGGAUGUGAGUGUUCAUCAUGGUGUCCAGUUUCCCUGACCACAGGCUGGCUAGAUUACUCCACCCACGAAGGUCAUGAUUGGAUGAAAGGUUGGGAGCUGUAAUAAUAGUAUAAACCACACCCAUUUGUGGCCAUUGUCUUCAGCACCUGGAGAAGCCUUCUUUAUUCUGGGAGAGUGAAGCCAACAAGCAAAUAAAAGCAGACUCAAGAGAUAGAGAAAGGAUAUAAUUACAUUGGUUGAAUGCUUGUAUUUUCUUGGAACUGGACUUCUCAACUGUACAACCUGAUGCCAUCAUGGAGGCUGAAAAUCCUCACACCUUUCAUUCUGUCUAGGGCUGACUGGAACCAGGGCUGGCUGAUCAGCUGUCAGGCUGCUCUUUAGCGAAGCUUGGAAAGUUCCAGCAAAAGCCCUGCCUUUGAACCGGAAUCACUCUGCCACCAUCUGCACAUGGAUCCUUUGUAGUGGAGACAGUGAUCUUUGUUCUGUAUAAAAACAGACUGGAACUCUUCUUGGGCCUGUCCCUCUGCUGACAAUUCCAAGUAAUGCUUUAUCAUCCCCAAGUGCAUUGCGUUGCUUUAAUAUCUGGCAGAGCGUGAAUUGUAAACACAUCAUUAGACUUAAAGGCUGCCCUGAGAUGGUGGCUGGAGGAGAACGGGGCCUGAAGAAAAGAGGAAUUUGGCUGAAAAUGAGCUGCUGAAUAAUUUAUCAUGAAUUGAAAUGUCAAUACCUUAAGUGAGGCAUGGUGAAGCUUCAGAACUCAGAGGUAAACACUGUGAGGAUGUAAUUCUGGAGAGAACAUUAUCAAAAGCAGUGGCUCUUCGGAAAGAGCAGGAGGCAGAGGGACCCUGGCUGGGUGUGGGCUGAGUCUGAUGAGGAGGUUGGGGGUGGGGAGGGGGUACAAAAGGAGAAGCAGAGCAGAGCUUGCCUUGGAGCUGCACCAUCUGAGCUGGAGGACAGGUGAAGCCAGAAAGGAACUGGGGAAAGUUAAGAACGAAGUGAGAGCUGUUAAGUAGGAGUGUCAAGAAGGCCUGACCAGUGGGCCCAGGAAAGCUUCUUGGAGAAGGGAGGACCCAGGAUUUGAUGAAGGGAGAUGAGGUGGAGAGAAUUUCAUUAGAUGUGCUAUUAAGGGGUAGCAGGAGAGAAGUUGAGAAGGCUGGUGGUGGGUGCAGGUUGAAGAACACUGUGCAGAAGAAUGGGAAUUUGUUGAAGCUGAAAUGAGAGCUCCUGCAGAUCUUUUGACAGGAAAUUGACAUUCAUUCAGCAAGUAUUCAACAUAUAAUUGAAUAGCUAUGUUCCAGAUUCUGUGCUGGCGCUGCACACAGGUCUCUGGCCUCAAAGAACUUAUAUUCUAGUGAGGGAGACAGAUAACCAAAAAAUAGCCACCACAUUUGUUUUCCUGAGUGUUUGACUUGCAUCUUAUUCUUUGCCACAAGGUUAGGAAGUAGGUGAAAUAAUUAUCUCCAUUUUACAGAUGAAGAAACUGAGGCUUAAAGAGGGUAAGUAAUUUUCCCAAGGGAAUUCAACUAGUAAAUGGUAGAGUUAGAACUCUAUCCUGCAAUUAUGCAGUUAUAAUUUGGGCUAAAUGUUUGGAUGGGAAAGUAUAUGAGGCUGUGGACCAGUGUUGGACACAUGACUGACUGUUCAGGGGGCCAGGGAAAUGUUACUGAGAAAGGAAUUAAGAUGAAACCCGAUGAGCUGGGGCGAUGUGGUGGGGUAAGAGUGGCUUGUACAAGGUCCCAGAAGUGGGAGGAAGAUGGUAGAGGCGAGAUCUGGCAGGUCUUUGGAGGUCUGUCAAGGAGGCUAGACUUCAUCCCAAUGGCAAUGAGAAGCCACUGAAGGGUUCUAAGAGGGGAAGGAUGAAGAGAGUAUGUGUGACAGAGUCGAUUUUGCAUUUUUAAAAGAUUGCUCUGGCUGCUUUGUGGAGAAUUGAUUGGUGGGGCCAGAAGUGCAAGCUGCUGGAACAGUGAGGAAGUUGAGAAGCAGGAAAUAAGUAAACCAAUAAACGCGUCAACCUCUUGAGUAUUUAUAAGAGGGUUCCUCAGCCCCUCGCUCAAAGCCUUUUUUCCCUCAUUUACAUCCAAUUCUAAUAAUUCAGGUGCUUGUUUUCCCAAUUUAUAGCAGAUUAAGAGUCACAAUUUAGAAAAGAAUUUGGGAAUGCAGUGAGUGUUGAAGGGGGAAAGACACUGGCAAUUAUGAAAAGUGACAGUUUGAUUUUAAGGAAAGACAGACAUGAAAAACAUUUAAAAUAUUAAAACAAACCAACUGCACAGCAGGGUGGGACUAUUCAGUGGAAAGGCAAAUGACCCUAUCCAAUGUCAUCCUCCCAUUUCAGGCUAAUAUUUGAUAUCUUCAGUGAUUAAUUUGAGACAACAACAAAAAAAUGAGUCAACAAUGACAAAAUGUGAUGUUCAAUAACCUCUGUUUAAAAAGACAGGAACGAAAAAGAGCGACUCCACAUUUCCAGUGGCCCUUCAGGGUGUGAGUGGGAAUGAACCCAAGAUGGCCGUGAGGCCUGGAACCGUGCGUUUCCCUUUCAGUCUCCAAGGCCAGCUGUCUCCCCCUGCAUGAGGGGUUGCUGAAGUGGGGGGAAUGGAGCUUGGUCAAAAUCUCCAGCCCCUCAUCAGUGAGCCCGGAACAUGAGCUGAGGCAAAACCACCACAGCAACCAUGGCAGCUCUGGGCCUCCUUCGGAAGCUGGGCUGGAAAAUUCUGUAGGCCACUGCAGGCUUUUAGGGAUUUAGAAAGGUCCCUGCUGCUAGAGGGCUUCCAAAGAGAAGCAGAGGGAGUAAACCAGGGUCCCCAAACCUAGUACCUUUUAGGAACCGGGCUGCAGGGCAGGAGGUGAGCUGCCAUGAGUGAGCAUGACCGCCUGAGCUCUGCCUCCUGUCAGAUCAGCUGCAGCGUUAGAUUCUCGUAGGAGUGCGAAGUCUAUUGUGAACUGCGUCUGCCAGGGAUCUAGGUUGUGCACUCCUUAUGAGAAUCUAAUGCCUGAUGAUCUGAGGUGGAACAGUUUCAUCCCCAAACCAUCUUCUCUCUAUCCCGCCCCCAAACCAGUCCCAAAAAUGUUGGGAACUGCAAGAGUAAAUCUUUCUGUGCGGGACUCUGGAUCUGACCAUCCGAGGGUUGGCGCAGUCCCCUUCCCUGGUGUCCUCCCUUGCUGUUGUUUUUUGUGUGUGUCUUUCCUUGAAAUCAAACUGUAAUUGCCAGUGUCUUUCCGCCUUGAACACUCACUGCAUUCCCAAAUUCUUUUCUAAAUUGUUAGUCUGUUAUAAAUUGGGAAAACAAGCACCUGUAUUAUUAGAAUUGGAUGUAAAUGAGGGAAAAAAAGGCUUUGGGCAAGGGGCUGAGGGACUGUCUUAUGAAUAAAGUAUUCAAGGGGUUGACACAUUUAUUGGUUCACUUAUUUCCUGUGGAGGAACCGUUGCUCUCGUGUGCAGGUAGGGGUCUAACUGUACCUACCUGCAGCCAGCCCAGGGCAGGAUUUCGGGCUGUGGGAACCACCCAACCUUGGCCUGCCACCGCAGACUUCAGCUGCCAGCUCCCCCAGCUCCUCCCUGCUAAAUGAAUAAAUAAAUGAAUGUCAAUUUCCAGUCAAAAAAUCUGCAGGGGCUCUCAUAGGCUGGAGCGUGCUGGACUCCCAGCCUGACACCCUCGGCACCCAUGCAAUCAGACAUGCAGGCACGAACCAGCCCCCCUCAGAGACAUCCUCGAUCCUUCACAGCUGGGGGCGUCGGGCCCCAGCCCCAGGCUGCAUCUGGUUUCCUCAGUUAUCUGAUUGGGAUGGUUACAAGUGUGAUCAGGAAUUGGGCCAAUGGAAGACGCCCGUGCAACUUCUUCUAUUUCAGGGGCCUUAUUUUGUUGCUUUUAGAAAGGAUUUCAUUCUUCUACCCAGGCUGGAGUGUGGUGGUACGAUCAUAGCUCACUGCAGCCUUGAACUCCUGGGCACAAGGGAUCCUCCCACUUCACCCUCCCGAGUAGCUACAUGCCUCCACGUCCUCUAGUUUUUAAAACUUUUGUGUAGAGAUAGGGUCUCACUGUGUUGCCAAGAAUGUUCUCCAGCUUCAGGCCUCAAGUGAUCCUCUUGCCUUCGUCUCCCAAUUCUUAAGUAUGUUAUUC